GACGGAAGGUGCAAGCGUUGCUCGGAAUCACUGGGCGUAAAGGGUGCGUAGGCGGCCGUGCAAGUCUGGCGUGAAAGCCCCGGGCUCAGCCCGGGAAGUGCGCUCGAAACUGCGCGGCUCGAGUGCCGGAGGGGAGAGUGGAAUUCCUGGUGUAGCGGUGAAAUGCGUAGAUAUCAGGAGGAAUACCGAUGGCGAAGGCAGGUCUCUGGGCUGAUACUGACGCUCAUGCACGAAAGCGUGGGGAGCAAACAGG
rnacentral:rRNA from 1 species